rnacentral:tRNA from 1 species
GAAGAGAUGGCUGAGUGGUUUAAAGCGACGGUUUGCUAAAUCGUUAUACUAACUAAUUUAGUAUCGUAGGUUCAAAUCCUACUCUCUUCA